rnacentral:rRNA from 1 species
UGCAUGUGCAAGUAUAAACGCUUGAACCGUGAGACUGCGAAUGGCUCAUUAAAUCAGUUAUAGUUUAUUUGAUGGUGUUCCCACUACGUGGAUAACCGUGGUAACGUAGAGCUAAUACAUGCCGAAGGCCUCGACUCCGUUCUCGCGGGGAAGAGGCGUAUUUAUUAGAUCCAAAACCAACCUGGGUUGCGUCUUGUUGGCGCUCCCAGCCUACUGCUUGGUGAUUCAUGGUAACUGCUCGAAUCGCUUGGCCUUCGCGCCGGCGAUGGUUCAUUCAAGUUUCUGCCCUAUCAACUUUCGAUGGUAGGGUAUUGGCCUACCAUGGUUGCAACGGGUGACGGAGAAUUAGGGUUCGAUUCCGGAGAGGGAGCCUGAGAAACGGCUACCACAUCUAAGGAGGGCAGCAGGCGCGCAAAUUACCCAAUCCCGACUCGGGGAGGUAGUGACAAUAAAUAACAAUGCCGGUCCCCAAAGUGGUCCGGCAAUUGGAAUGAGUCCAAUCCAAACCCCUUAACGAGGAACAAUUGGAGGGCAAGUCUGGUGCCAGCAGCCGCGGUAAUUCCAGCUCCAAUAGCGUAUAUUAAAGUUGUUGCAGUUAAAAAGCUCGUAGUUGGAUUUCGGGGCCCGCGACCGUGCCCGGCUUGUGGGGUCGUUCUCGUCCAGUUCGCUGGUCCUGGCGUCUCUGUGGCUUGGGUGCGGCGUGCUCGGCCGGCGCGGUCCGCCGAGAGGCGAGCACUGCCCGGCGGCUCCCUGUGCUCUCGGAGGCUCCGUCUGCUCUUGAUUGCAGCGGUCGGGGAGUUCGGGACGUUUACUUUGAACAAAUUAGAGUGUUCCAAGCAGGCCGGUCGCUUUGAAUACGUUAGCAUGGAAUAAUGGAAUAGGGCUG